ensembl:lncRNA
GGGCCGAGCCCCGGCGCGGGCCACCCCGCGGCCCCACCCUGUCUGCCGCGCCCCUCACUUGACAGGGCUCGGCCGCACACAGUGGGGUCCCCGCCGGGCGGCGGCGGCGCCGAGCCGGGAGGAACCGCGGCGACGGGCGCGGCUCGGCCGCCGCUGGACAGCCGCGCACCUGGCAGCGGGACCGCCUUCCGCUCCAAGCGCCGCUCGGCCGCAGCACCCUUCCCCGCUUCCGCCGCCUCACAAAGGCGCCGGCAGCUGACAAGCGGCAGCCUACGGCGGGCGCCGAGGAUCACACCAGCUCCGAAAGCGUUGUGGGAUGCGCAGGAACUUACAGGAACCGCGGAAGUACACAGUGGCCCGUAUAGUACGCUCGUUCACGCCGUCAGGGAGAGCGAUCUGACAGGAACUCGCGCGGGGGACGCGGGCGAAGGGACGCGGCAGCGGGGCGCCGCCACAGGCCUGGCACCCAGACCGCGCCGCGGGGCGCAGAACAGCGCCGCCCAACCUGCAGCGCGCCCCGCUGGGAGGGCCCCGGCCCCAGCGCCCUGCCGCGAAAAUAAAAGUCCAUCUUACAGACUUACUGGAGCUGAAAUCAUCAGGAAGAUCUCAUCCCAGAAUAUAAAGGCAGAACUUUUCUGGAGAUUCAGUGGUAGCUGAAGAGUACAUGACACAAGCUGGCAAGGUGGUACAGCAUAAGGUUGAAGUGGAAAGAGGCUGUCCAAAGCAAAAAACAUAAAGACAACCAGAUCUGUGAAACUAGGUGUCAGGAAACAGGGGAAGUGUGGAGGAAGACAUUUCUGAGGCUACAGUAUAAAGGUAUUAGGCAUAAAUCAGAACUGAUUUUGUACUGGAGGACCUGCCAGAAUUACGGUGCUAGAAUAUAUUGAUGCAGGAACAUCCUACAUGUAUUGCAUAUGGCUCUGACAACUUCCAGGACACCACACUAGACCACUCCAGAGCACAGAAAUUAUCAAUGGAUAGUGAGUUGAAGAGAGAAAAGAUUUUUUUUUAUACCUCUAUUAAUAUGGUAUAGCAAAUAGAAAGAACUGCUGAACAAGAUAAUAACAGAUUGGAUGUGAGUCAGAGAUGAUGUUAAUAACAUAUGUAUAAUGCCUGUCACAAAAAAGCUUUUCUACUUGAAGCGUUGAGUGUAGUAAUUUAAAACAUAUAUAUUUUAACAGCUGUCAAAGAGAUAGGAGAUAAGUAAGUGAGGAUAAAAUCAUGAAAUUAUUUCUUUCAAAGUGACAAUGAUUUUUGGUGACCAAAAGGUAUUACUUUGGGGUCUAAUUUUGUAGCUAAAAUGAACACCAAGAACUAUAAUGACCUCAACAGUCAAUUAUGGAUGUUCAACAGUUCUAAAAAAAAGUCCUAACGCAUUUCAAAGUAGACACAUGUAAAUGGACACAUGCCAAGUCAACAGUCCCCUUGAAAACUGUGGUCAACCAGUACAACUGUCUUUUUACUUGGAUACCUGUUUUGUUUGGAAAAGGAACAUGUUAGGAGAUUCUGUCUCUGCACUCGAGAGGUAAUGUGAUCUGUAAAAUGAAUACUACAAAAGACUUUACACUUUUACUAUUUCUUUUAAACUUUGUCAUUUGUAUUUCUGCCACACAUUCAAGUGGCAGGCUCGCUGUCAUGUGUUUUACUUCUUAUAUGAUCAGGAAACCUGUGACAGACCUUUUUUAAUUUUUUUUUUAUUUAUUUUAGAAACAGUGUGCCAGUUCUCUCUUAAACACUGUUCCCUGAUUGACUUUGCCAAUGUAAAAAGAGUGAUUUUAUCCAGGUCAUCCUUUCCUUAUCUUUUAUUUGUAAGCCUUGUUUGCACUAAGAAGUAUUUUUAACUAAAUAAACUUCUGAUUAAAAUUUAAUGCAGUUUUAAUUGAGCAAGUACAGAUCCUUUUUACAGAAUCCCCGAGCUUACUUUAAGAUAUGUAAUUUUAACUUAGGAUAUGGUUUGCAUAAACAUUUCUUUUAGUGACUCUCCUGGCUAAUAUAGGUUUCACUGUGGACACCCAUUCUCACCCGUGUUCCUCUUUUAAUUUGGUUUGUUGUUUGUGUGAUCGUGUGAAGAACUGGAGCAGUAUUCCAAUACAGUUCACCACAUAACCCUGCCGACACUUACAUUACCAUGAUGGAGGAGGAAGUUAAGAGUCAGAAACAAGAGGCAGGAGGUCACGGAAGUUCUGUCCAUGUGCUCAUCUUAUCCUUACUGUAAGGUAGAAUAUGUUAGUUUAAUCAAUUUUCAGCAACGUUUGUGAGUGCACCCAUAGAAAACAUGAAUGCAGGACUAUUCUGUUAAUUCUGCAAGGCUUUGUAACUUUUUGUUUUUCAGUCCUGUGUCCAACUGCAUAAAGAUAGUGGAUUAGGGCUUAUCAUAUACAAAACUGUUCUGAAGAAUCAAAAUGUUUUAGCAGAAUAUCCCAGCAAUGAGAACUGUGCAGAAGUUAAGAUAUGGUUAAAUAGUUUUGCCAACCUUUAAUGAAAAACACUGUUGUAAAGAAACGUAAGCAUAUAUUCAAGUCAGUGAAAACUAACUUGAUAAGCUGUCUGACAUAAAAUUCCAUGUGAUUUGACAAUAUAUCCGGAAAGGAGGGUCCGUGUUUCUGAAAACUAGAUUUCCAGUAACAUAGUAAUGAAUUGCAGCACAUCUUUGCCAGUGCUUUUUGACCCAGAGAAGCAUAAAAGAUCUUUCAUUUUGUUUAUUCUAUAACAAAUGGCUGCAUGUGUGUGAUAA